CGGAGGAACAUCGACGCUAGAUGGAAAAUGACUCUAUAGAAGCUGCAGGUAAACCGAGAAAACCAGACAAUUUCCAUAGAAAGUGGCUUGCUGAUGGACCAAAUUAAACUGAUAAUAGACCACAUUUUGCAAUUCGUGUUCAGCAUUUCCCAUUUAGCUGCAAAUUUUAUGAUGAUGAUCUGAGCCAUUGCUUUUGUUGGAUGGAAAAGCUUAAUUCUUCUUCUGCUUGCCAACUUGGUAUGGAUGAUGCCUUCGAGGAAAAGAAUGAUGCUGUUCAUGAGUCCAUUUUUUGCAAUAUUUAUGUACUUUUUAUUGAUAUCCGCCUAUAUUUAUUCUCUGGACUUAAGCGGACAGGAAUUGCCUUCUACUGUGGGGCACAUAGACUUCAGAUCAGGUAUUAAUAGGCCAAACGACCUGAAAUGGAUAGAGUUGCUGGCCAAAUCCAUGAUAGGAGUUUUAAUCUUUACGACCAUGAGGCGCCUUUUGCAAGAAAAAGCGCUGGCAAAUCAACAAGCAGUGGAAAAUGUCGCUGGAAGCAGCUCAUUAACA